UUUUUUAUAGUGUAUAUAACACCUAACAUUUUCAUUGUUAAAAAGAACUAUCUAAAAAAU
rnacentral:tRNA from 1 species